UACGUAGGGUGCGAGCGUUGUCCGGAUUUAUUGGGCGUAAAGAGCUCGUAGGCGGUUUGUCGCGUCGGCCGUGAAAUCUCCACGCUUAACGUGGAGCGUGCGGUCGAUACGGGCAGACUUGAGUUCGGUAGGGGAGACUGGAAUUCCUGGUGUAGCGGUGAAAUGCGCAGAUAUCAGGAGGAACACCGGUGGCGAAGGCGGGGUCUCUGGGCCGAUACUGACGCUGAGGAGCGAAAGCGUGGGGAGCGAACAGG
rnacentral:rRNA from 1 species